AUUCAACGUGUUUUGAGCUGUGCAGACGUAAAAUCGUCUUUGCUGCCGUGAAAUGAGAGCUAAGUGGCGUAAGAAGCGUAUGCGGAGGUUGAAGCGUAAGCGCAGGAAGAUGCGUGCGAGAUCCAAGUAAACCCCCGGCCGGUAUUCGCUACCAUACAGCUGCGCGGCGGACCUCAACAACCGGAGAAGUCGAACCAGGGUGGCCGCAUUCCAGACACCGCCCGAAGGAAACGAUUUAAAAUUUCGUGUCCAUCCCAGGUGUGUUUGCUCAGACAGUUUGCACUUGGACUCGAUGUAUUUCGUUCCGAAUAAAAGCGAAAUGAGUGAACAAUGUGCUUCCGGGGACGAUGGAACCGGAUGAAUAUUGCUAAAACAUACUAA